rnacentral:rRNA from 1 species
AGAGUGAACGCUGGCGGCAGGCCUAACACAUGCAAGUCGAACGGCAGCACAGUAAGAGCUUGCUCUUAUGGGUGGCGAGUGGCGGACGGGUGAGGAAUACAUCGGAAUCUGCCUAUUUGUGGGGGAUAACGUAGGGAAACUUACGCUAAUACCGUAUACGACCUACGGGUGAAAGCGGAGGACCUUCGGGCUUCGCGCAGAUAGAUGAGCCGAUGUCGGAUUAGCUAGUUGGUGGGUAAAGGCCCACCAAGGCGACGAUCCGUAGCUGGUCUGGAGAGGAUGAUCAGCCACACUGGAACUGAGACACGGUCCAGACUCCGUACGGAGGCAGCAGUGGGGAAUAGUAGGACAAGUGGGCGACCAAGCCUGACUCCGACGCCAGUGCCGGCGUGAGUGAAGAACGGUCCGUUGGGUUAGUAAGUCGUUCUUUUAGGUUAGGGUAAAGAAAA